GACGCCGGCGGCGUNNCUUAGGCUGCCNGUCGAACGAGAAAAGUUUCUUCGGAAACUGAGUAAAGUGGCAAACGGGUGAGUAACGCGUGGGAAACCUACCUUUCAGUUGGGGACAACACUUCUAACGAGGUGCUAAUACCGAAUACGAUCUUUCCAUUGCAUGAUGGAUUGAUGAAAGGCGGCCUCUGUUUACAAGCUGUCUCUGAAAGAUGGUCCCGCGUCCCAUUAGCUUGUUGGUGAGAUAACAGCCCACCAAGGCGACGAUGGGUAGCCGGCCUUAGCGGGUGAUCAGCCACACUGGGACUGAGACACGGCCCAGACUCCUACGGGAGGCAGCAGUGGGGAAUAUUGGACAAUGGGCGCAAGCCUGAUCCAGCAAUGCCGCGUGUGUGAANAAGGCCUGCGGGUUGUAAAGCACUUUCAGUAGGGAANAAAUGCCUGGGGUUGAUANCUCCGGUCUUGACGUUCCUACANAAAAACACCGCUACUCCUCCANCACCCCGGUAUUCCGAGGGUNCNACCUUAUCGAAUACUGGCUUAACCCCCUAGCNGUUGNCNUCNAU
rnacentral:rRNA from 1 species